CUGAUCCUGAUCGAGCCCGAGGGGUGCAGGCAGCUCGCGCUCGCCCUGGCCGCCUAACCUGUUCCUUCUUGGCUCGGGUGCUCGCCACCCCCACAGGCCUUGGACACACACUACGCGUCGCUAGGUCCUUUCGGCCGAAAUAUCGCGAGAUUUCUUGCGGCAAAUUGGAGUACUGCGGCAAAGGACUCACUUUUUUACCACAGUACAGUAUAGCGAUCAGCAAGUGGAUAUGAAAAUACCUCUUCUAGUCAGAUGCUGGCCAAUCCCGAGCUCCAGUCCGCCUAGGGCUCCGCCCACUACUGAGUACAGAAGGAUCUCUUUGAGGUUUGCGAGGGACUGUCCGUUUGCGUGUUGAAGAUGUUUAGGUGCUUCCAACUUUGAAGGCGAGGACCAUGUGUGAGUCAUCUCAGGAGCCCUGGCAUCUAGCAAAGUGUCGGCACCUUUGUUCAGGCUCAAGAUGUCCACUGAAUAAUUAGUUGGAGAGAGGAAAAGGAAAUUCAUCUAAGGAUCCCAUCUAGGACAUCAUGCUACAUUUUGGAAUCAUCUGCCCUUUGGCUCCUCUUGGCUGUGAGAG